ACAACAACAACAACAACAACGAAAGGAAGGAAGGAAGGAAGGAAGGAAGGAAGAAAGAAAGAAAGAAAGAAAGAAAGAAAGAAAGUAAGUUAGUUAAGAAGGAAACUUACUUAGAAGAGGAGGACAUCUUCUGUGCUGACGCAGUGUCUGGUCCAGUUACACAUGACCCACCCACCCCUCCACACAGCUGGUUCUGUCCAGAUCCUGUGCGAUCUUGUCCAUCCAGCCCACAUCCAGGCUCCUCUUGGUCUGGAAUCCUCGACCCCAGAGGCAAACUGGUCCACCUCUUUCUUUCUAGUCUGCUUCUCAGUGACAAGGAAGGCACUAGUGGGAUAGGGCAAGGGAGCCUUGGAUAUUAAAGUUUUGUCUCCACAGGAUCCCUGGGGACCCGAGGUCCAUGCCCACACUGUCUUCUAGCCACAAGAGUGACUUCUUUGCCUGCAGGAUUGGGUUAGAGUCAUUCCAUCACAGCUAACUUCCAGUCUACAUAAGACGUUUCUUCCUGCAAAUGGUCUGUAACUUACACAAACCACUUUGUGGGUCAGAAUCUAGCUAGUCACACGUAACUGCAGUGGGUUCUGGGAAGUAUACUUUCUAAUCUGCAGGUCAUACACCCAGCUGUCCUUAGUAAAGGGUUUCAUUGAUUAAGAGAGGAAGGGAAGAAGUAGUGAGGUACAGUUCAGCGUUUGUGCCCCCUCUAGCCUGGGAUGUAAUUCCCUGUAAUCUUUACUGUCCAGAAACGAGGCAUUUUCUGUAUCUCAGAAUCCUGCCACCAGCCCAGACGUCAUAAGAGCAUUCAUUGGAAUGCUAUCCUUUCUUUAGGUUGGGCACUGAAACGAAGGGUCCCACUAGUCCAGAUCAUUGGUAGCUAUAACAACAGACUGCCUGUCAUUUAUCCGGCUUCCAUUUUGUGCUAAUUACUCUUUGAAAUGAUCUCCAUUGGCUCAAUCUUCACAGCCCCCCUGGGGGCACGUAUUCAGACAACUCUGUUCUCUGUCAGGAGAGGCUUCUAAAGGCCAAAAUUUAGGGACCUUUCUCACCACCUCUCUAAUUCCCCAGGUUUGCUCCGACCCAGUCCCUUAGGAAGAAGGUGAGAAGGUGGUCUUUUGCAAUGCGCAAGGACACCCGUGAGCAUGCUAAGCAGCUCAAUUAACUCUGAGUUUGUUGUAGGA
rnacentral:lncRNA from 1 species